UGGGGAAUAUUGCACAAUGGGCGCAAGCCUGAUGCAGCCUUGCCGCGUGUGUGAAGAAGGCCUUCGGGUUGUAAAGCACUUUCAGCGGGGAGGAAGGCGAUAAGGUUAAUAACCUUGUCGAUUGACGUUACCCGCAGAAGAAGCACCGGCUAACUCCGUGCCAGCAGCCGCGGUAAUACGGAGGGUGCAAGCGUUAAUCGGAAUUACUGGGCGUAAAGCGCACGCAGGCGGUUGAUUGAGUCAGAUGUGAAAUCCCCGGGCUUAACCCGGGAAUUGCAUCUGAUACUGGUCAGCUAGAGUCUUGUAGAGGGGGGUAGAAUUCCAUGUGUAGCGGUGAAAUGCGUAGAGAUGUGGAGGAAUACCGGUGGCGAAGACGGCCCCCUGGACAAAGACUGACGCUCAGGUGCGAAAGCGUGGGGAGCAAACAGG
rnacentral:rRNA from 1 species